rnacentral:rRNA from 1 species
GACAGAGGCCACAAGCGUUAGGCGGAAUCACUGGGCUUAAAGCGUGUGUAGGCGGAUCGUUAAGUGCCUUGUGAAAUCCCACAGCUUAACUGUGGAACUGCUUGGCAUACUGGCGGUCUUGAGCCAUCUAGGGGUUGCUGGAACAAACGGUGGAGCGGUGAAAUGCGUAGAUAUCGUAAGGAAGACCAGUGGCGAAGGCGGGUCUCUGGACAGUUCCUGACGCUGAGGCACGAAGGUCAGGGGAGCAAACGGG